GAUGAACGCUGACAGAAUGCUUAACACAUGCAAGUCAACUGUGGCGGACGGGUGAGUAACGCGCAAAGAACUUGCCUCACGGAUAGGGACAACAUUUGGAAAAGAAUGCUAAUCUCUGAAACUGUGAGAGAGCUUUGCGUCCCAUUAGCUAGUUGUUGAGGUUACGGCUCACGAAGGCGAUGAUGGGUAGCCGGCCUGGGACGUUGAUCGGCCACAAGGGGACGGGGACCCGGCCCUUACUCCUACGGGAGGCAGCAGUGGGGACUGUUGGACAAUGGACCACAGUCUGAUCCAGCAAUUCGGUGUGCACGAUGAAGUUUUCGGAAUGUAAAGUGCUUUCAGUUGGGAAGCGGUACCAACAGAAGAAGUAACGGCUAAAUACGUGCCAGCAGCCGCGGUAAUUG
rnacentral:rRNA from 1 species